AGCAGUUCGCGCGUGUCGCUCCGUGUCGGUUCUCCCUGUGACUUCCGACCGUUCGCAGUCGCACACGAAUAUUUUUAGAUAACAGUGCGAACGAUUUAUUCGCAAGUUAGUGAUCGUGCGCACUUUUGUGGAUACGGGUACCGGUGCAUGCGGGCGCGUUGCGAACGCGAAGUGGCGGGCCGGGCAGGCGGUCGGUAGCGCUCGAGCUACCGCGGCGGAGACGUCCCGAUAGCUCUGGCAACACUACAACAUUACGCGCUAGGCGAGCGAAUUUGGGACAAUGAUCAGCUAAAUUUUUCAUCCGACGUCACCGUAACAGAGAUCGGGCAUUAGAUCGGGGCGAUGCUUGGUGGCGAAUUCCGGGCUAAGUCAGCAUGAUGUCAUGGCGGCUUAAUGGGAGCGUCCCUACACGUCAUAUUCCAUUCCUGCCGCAUACUUCGGCCAAUCGAGUGAUGACAAAUUCAUUCCUAUUCCUCUAUUGUGCCUCGCUGUUGUGUUUAUUACGAAUCUUACAUGUUGUUUGUCAGUUCAUUUUUUAAAGUCGUUAAUCAUUUACUAUUUUCUAAGCGUAGCUGUCGAUAUAAUAAGGUAUUUUAAGAUAUGAAGAAAGUUGGAAGAUCACAAGAAGCCGAAGC